rnacentral:rRNA from 1 species
GUUUGAUCCUGGCUCAGGACGAACGCUGGCGGCGUGCUUAACACAUGCAAGUCGAACGGUGAUCCCCUUUCGGGGGGUGAUCGGUGGCGAACGGGUGAGUAACACGUGAGCAACCUGCCCCUGGCUCUGGGACAACCACUGGAAACGGUGGCUAAUACCGGAUACGACUCACCUCGGCAUCGAGUGUGGGUGGAAAGUUUUUCGGCUGGGGAUGGGCUCGCGGCCUAUCAGCUUGUUGGUGGGGUAAUGGCCUACCAAGGCGACGACGGGUAGCCGGCCUGAGAGGGCGACCGGCCACACUGGGACUGAGACACGGCCCAGACUCCUACGGGAGGCAGCAGUGGGGAAUAUUGCACAAUGGGCGAAAGCCUGAUGCAGCGACGCCGCGUGAGGGAUGACGGCCUUCGGGUUGUAAACCUCUUUCAGCUCCGAAGAAGCGAAAGUGACGGUAGGAGCAGAAGAAGCACCGGCUAACUACGUGCCAGCAGCCGCGGUAAUACGUAGGGUGCAAGCGUUGUCCGGAAUUAUUGGGCGUAAAGAGCUCGUAGGCGGUGUGUCGCGUCUGCUGUGAAAACUCAGGGCUCAACUCUGAGCUUGCAGUGGGUACGGGCACACUAGAGUGCUGUAGGGGAGACUGGAAUUCCUGGUGUAGCGGUGAAAUGCGCAGAUAUCAGGAGGAACACCGGUGGCGAAGGCGGGUCUCUGGGCAGUUACUGACGCUGAGGAGCGAAAGCAUGGGGAGCGAACAGGAUUAGAUACCCUGGUAGUCCAUGCCGUAAACGUUGGGCGCUAGGUGUGGGGUCCAUUCCACGGAUUCCGUGCCGCAGCUAACGCAUUAAGCGCCCCGCCUGGGGAGUACGGCCGCAAGGCUAAAACUCAAA